rnacentral:rRNA from 1 species
UACGGAGGGAGCGAGCGUUGUCCGAAGUUACUGGGCGUAAAGCGCGCGUAGGCGGGGGAUUAAGUGAGAAGUGAAAGGCUGGGGCUCAACCCCAUGCAGUGCUUCUCAUACUGGUCCUCUUGAGGGUGGUAGAGAGAAGUGGAAUGGCGUGGUGUAGCGGGUGAAAUGGCGUAGAUAUCGAGUCGGAACACCGGUGGCGAAGGCGGCUUCUUGGGCCAAUUUCUGACGCUGGAGGCGCGAAAGCUAGGGAGCGAACGG